UCCCUGGUGGCUCAGACAGUAAAGCAUCUGCCUGCCAUGCAGGAGACCCAGGUUCGAUCCCUGGGUUGGGAA
rnacentral:tRNA from 1 species